GUAUUUGAAUUAAGUAUUCAUACAGGUUUUAGACAAAGUUGUUAAAGAUAAGAGUUGAUGUUUACAUCCUGUAGCGCAAUGACAAGCAUCACGCUACAAGACAACAUUGCACACAAGGUGGAUAUGGAUUUUUAAAGAGUGCCAUAAAACACUCAUUGUGAAUGAUCCUUCCGCAGGUUCACCUACGGAAA
rnacentral:misc_RNA from 1 species